AGUCAUUAUUGGAUCGUGCUCGUGCCCGUGCCCUUAUCGACGAUCCAACAAUAGAAACAUCCUCAGGUUCAUAGUCGUCUCUUUGUAAUUGUCCUAUGUCAAUCGUAUCAUCUGGCACUAAUAUGUUAUCUGGUGCUUGCAUUUGAUAUGCUUCGUUUUCAAUAAUUGCACGGACUUCAUUCUCAAGAUCUUCAUCGUUCGGGCAUGUGAAAAGUGUGGGAUCAAACAAAUGCCUAUGCUGAGCCCUUAUUGCAACUC
rnacentral:lncRNA from 1 species